AUUGAACGCUGGCGGCAGGCUUAACACAUGCAAGUCGAGCGAGCGGCGGACGGGUGAGUAAUGUCUGGGAAACUGCCUGAUGGAGGGGGAUAACUACUGGAAACGGUAGCUAAUACCGCAUACCAUCAGAUGUGCCCAGAUGGGAUUAGCUAGUUGGUGGGGUAAAGGCUCACCUAGGCGACGAUCCCUAGCUGGUCUGAGAGGAUGACCAGCCACCCUGGAACUGAGACACGGUCCGAACUCCUACGGGGGGCAGCAGUGGGGAUUGUUGCACAAUGGGCGCAAGCCUGAUGCAGCCAUGCCGCGUGUGUGAAGAAGGCCUUCGGGUUGUAAAGCACUUUCAGCAAGGAGGCGUUACUCGCAGAAGAAGCACCGGCUAACUCCGUGCCAGCAGCCGCGGUAAUUC
rnacentral:rRNA from 1 species